GCCGAAGUGGUGGAAUUGGCAGACGCGCCGGACUCAAAAUCCGGUCUGGGUUAAACCAGGUGUGGGUUCGAAUCCCACCUUCGGCACCA
rnacentral:tRNA from 1 species